rnacentral:rRNA from 1 species
UCGAGCGAACAGAUAAGGAGCUUGCUCCUUUGACGUUAGCGGCGGACGGGUGAGUAACACGUGGGUAACCUACCUAUAAGACUGGAAUAACUCCGGGAAACCGGGGCUAAUGCCGGAUAACAUGUUGAACCGCAUGGUUCUACAGUGAAAGGCGGCUUUGCUGUCACUUAUAGAUGGACCCGCGCCGUAUUAGCUAGUUGGUGAGGUAAUGGCUCACCAAGGCAACGAUACGUAGCCGACCUGAGAGGGUGAUCGGCCACACUGGAACUGAGACACGGUCCAGACUCCUACGGGAGGCAGCAGUAGGGAAUCUUCCGCAAUGGGCGAAAGCCUGACGGAGCAACGCCGCGUGAGUGAUGAAGGUCUUCGGAUCGUAAAACUCUGUUAUUAGGGAAGAACAAAUGCGUAAGUAACUGUGCGCGUCUUGACGGUACCUAAUCAGAAAGCCACGGCUAACUACGUGCCAGCAGCCGCGGUAAUACGUAGGUGGCAAGCGUUAUCCGGAAUUAUUGGGCGUAAAGCGCGCGUAGGCGGUUUUUUAAGUCUGAUGUGAAAGCCCACGGCUCAACCGUGGAGGGUCAUUGGAAACUGAAAAACUUGAGUGCAGAAGAGGAAAGUGGAAUUCCAUGUGUAGCGGUGAAAUGCGCAGAGAUAUGGAGGAACACCAGUGGCGAANGCGACUUUCUGGUCUGUAACUGACGCUGAUGUGCGAAAGCGUGGGGAUCAAA